rnacentral:rRNA from 1 species
GCGGCGUGCCUAAUACAUGCAAGUAGAACGCUGAAGGAGGAGCUUGCUCUUCUGGAUGAGUUGCGAACGGGUGAGUAACGCGUAGGUAACCUGCCUGGUAGCGGGGGAUAACUAUUGGAAACGAUAGCUAAUACCGCAUAAGAGUAGAUGUUGCAUGACAUUUGCUUAAAAGGUGCAAUUGCAUCACUACCAGAUGGACCUGCGUUGUAUUAGCUAGUUGGUGGGGUAACGGCUCACCAAGGCGACGAUACAUAGCCGACCUGAGAGGGUGAUCGGCCACACUGGGACUGAGACACGGCCCAGACUCCUACGGGAGGCAGCAGUAGGGAAUCUUCGGCAAUGGACGGAAGUCUGACCGAGCAACGCCGCGUGAGUGAAGAAGGUUUUCGGAUCGUAAAGCUCUGUUGUAAGAGAAGAACGAGUGUGAGAGUGGAAAGUUCACACUGGA